rnacentral:pre_miRNA from 1 species
UAGGUACUCCCUCUGUCCAAAAAUACUUGUCAUCAAAAUGAAUAAAAAGUGAUGUAUCUAGAUGUAUUUUAGUUUUAAAUACAUUUCUUUUCAUCCAUUUUGAUGACAAGUAUUUUCGGACGAAGGGAGUAUAUU